rnacentral:rRNA from 1 species
UACGUAGGGUGCAAGCGUUGUCCGGAAUUAUUGGGCGUAAAGAGCUCGUAGGCGGUUUGUCGCGUCUGCUGUGAAAACUCGGGGCUUAACUCCGGGCCUGCAGUGGGUACGGGCAGACUAGAGUGCGGUAGGGGAGACUGGAAUUCCUGGUGUAGCGGUGAAAUGCGCAGAUAUCAGGAGGAACACCGAUGGCGAAGGCAGGUCUCUGGGCCAUAACUGACGCUGAGAAGCGAAAGCAUGGGGAGCGGACAGG